GCCUGGCCCUUAAUCUUGAUGCUCGAUCUUACCGGAGCAUCCGCCCGAGAACUACGAGCACAAACGCUUAAAACUCUAAGGACUUGGCGGUGUUCCACACCCACCUAGAGGAGCCUGUUCUGUAAUCGAUGAUCCACGAUAUACCUAACCAUUUCUUGCCAAAGCAGCCUAUAUACCGCCGUCGCCAGCCCACCCAGCAUGAAGGACCAACAGUGGACGCAAUAGCCUUACCCCGCUAACAAGACAGGUCAAGGUAUAGCCUAUGGAAUGGGAGCAAUGGGCUACAUUUUCUAGAUUAGAACAUAACGGCAAAGGGAUAUGAAACUGUCCCUGGAAGGCGGAUUUAGCAGUAAAGUGGGACAAUCGAGCCCUCUUUAAGCCGGCCCUGGGACACGU
rnacentral:rRNA from 1 species